AGUGAACGCUGGCGGUAGGCCUAACACAUGCAAGUCGAACGGCAGCACAGUAAGAGCUUGCUCUUACGGGUGGCGAGUGGCGGACGGGUGAGGAAUACAUCGGAAUCUACUUUUUCGUGGGGGAUCACGUAGGGAAACUUACGCUAAUACCGCAUACGACCUACGGUUGAAAGCAGGGGAUCUUCGGACCUUGCGCGAUUGAAUGAGCCGAUGUCGGAUUAGCUAGUUGGCGGGGUAAAGGCCCACCAAGGCGACGAUCCGUAGCUGGUCUGAGAGGAUGAUCAGCCACACUGGAACUGAGACACGGUCAAGACUCCUACGGGAGGCAGCAGUGGGGAAUAUUGGACAAUGGGCGCAAGCCUGAUCCAGCCAUACCGCGUGGGUGAAGAAGGCCUUCGGGUUGUAAAGCCCUUUUGUUGGGAAAGAAAAGCAGCAGGUUAAUACCCCGCUGUUCUGACGGUACCCAAAGAAUAAGCACCGGCUAACUUCGUG
rnacentral:rRNA from 1 species